rnacentral:lncRNA from 1 species
UCUCCCUUUAAAUUAAAAAUUUCUGAAUUUGGCAUCAGAACAGUUUUGGCUCUGUAGUGUCUCCCUCAUCGUCUUUGUUAGAGAUCAGAAGCCCUAACGCCGCCACCACUCCCCACUACCUCCGCGGGCGAUGCCACAUCCAAUCACUCCCAAAAUAACACCUCGUGACCACCACGACCCCAUCAUACUGAAUCCACAACUUAUUCCCUCAAAUAUUCCUCAAACUCCUCGAACCUUAAAUCCAAAUUCGAACUCUAGAAGCCAAAUCCAAACCCAGGCAUGCAAGAUGAUUUCUCAAGUCCUCAUGAGUUUUUAGAGCCGGUUUGUCACGAAAUAGUGUUGUUCGCUUCUUCUUGACAAAGAACAACUGAUUGACAUUUUUUUGGAAUGAAGUCGGAGUGUCAAGUCUUGCGUUUGAGCUUUGUGUGGUGAGUUCUUUCUGUAUUUUGAUUCAUUUUGUUAUUUCGACUUUCUUUCUUCUUCUUUUCUUCUAUUUUCUUGUACAACUCAGAUCAAACUUGACUCAAGUCUUAGCUGAAAUCGAUAACUGUCUGCUUGUUCUUCUUAAGUAUGUUCUCCAGUCCUGCUUGUUUUGUUUAGUUCCUUUUGCUAAUGGCAUGGUUACUGUUCUCCUUUCAUCUCCCAUUUAAUAACCUAGUUAAGUUAAUUAGGCCCAUAACUUAGUUAAUUUCCUGCUAUGUAGUUAAUUUAAUUAGCUCAUUCCCUUUUGUCUUUGUUUUGAAUGCAUUUUAACAAAUAUUUUUGGGUUUCUUCUUUUAGGAAAUCUUGGUAAGUUCUUAAAAUUAUAAAUAUGUGGUUAAUCUAAAUGGGGCUCUGAAAAAAUCAAAAUCCCCAGAGGGGAAUUAAUUAGGGAUUACAGAUAUAUGAGGCUCUUAAUUUAGUCAAUUUUGACCCAUCUGGUCUAGUUUCUUUGGGUAAUUUACAGGGCUUAAAGGGGUAAUUUAGGAAUUCUGGUUUAGGAAAUCUUUGAAAACUAAUUGAGGAAGCUUCUAAGAAGCUGGGGUGGGGGACUAAAUUGAAGUUUUGAAAAUUAAACUAAGGGUACCAAAGCUAAAAUGAAAAUAUUAGAAGGACUACAGUGAAAAAAUAGUUGCAUUUCUGCAGCCCUAAUGCCUUGCCUAUAAAGGCACCUUUGCUUGACAUUUAAGUAAGAAAUUGAGAGAUAAAAAUCUAGAAAAAACUGAAACGGCUAAAAAAAAGAUAUGGAGGGAGUGUGAAUAAUCAAACAUACAAACAAAAAUCAGAAAACCACUGUUACAUAGAGGUUUUUCAAGUUUUUUAAGUAAAUAUGAGGUCCAUACUGGGUUUGAAAUGGUUUGAAGAAGCUAGAUUUGCCAUUGUUGAGCUGCUGAGAUACAUUUUCUUCUACUGUUGAUCUUCUUGCCCUUGCUUUUGCUCAAAUUAUAUUAGGUAUGCCCUAGAAACUGUGAUGGAACUGAAGCUUGACUGAAUCUAUGUAAAGAUCUGUAAACUUGAGUUGGAAUUAUGUCACGACCCAAACCCCGCACUGGUCGUGAAGGCGCCUCUCGUGAAGAUGAGGCUAGCCAACUAACCCAACUCGUCUUUUCAAAAAUAAUUAAUCAUCUCAAAUAUGACUUAACAAUAUUAAUUAAUGGAAAUCCAACCCAACAAAGCCCUAAUCGAGGUGUCACAAGUCACGAGCAUCUAUCAGGAUAUAAGUCCACUACAAGGUCAAAAUAUACAAAACCAGAAUAAUGAAUAAAAGAAGGAAACAUGAUGCUGCGAACGCUGACAGUCACCUCCAUAACUGAUAUAACUCCUCCUCUGAUCGGCCAAAACCCACUUUCGGGUGAAUAGAUACCUACAUCUGCACACGAGGUGCAGGGAGUAAAGUGAGUACUGCCACUCAGUAAGUAAUAAAGGUAAAUAACAACAGAGCAGUAAGAAAUAACGUAUGGCAAACCAUCACGCUGUAUAGAAGCAGGGUACAAUCCUUUGAGGAAACAGUGAACCUAUGAAAUCAAUGGAAAUAUCUUUGCUCGGUUUAAAUCUCUUUUGAUUCAACAAUUACGAAAUGAUUUAAAAACAGUUAGUGCCGAUAAGCACAGAAGAUCUGCUCCUCGAGCACAAAUACCACAGUAUUAUAGGUAAAAAGGCAAGUAAAUAUGAAAGAUGAGCACAUAAAAUUUCACCCCUGGGCAAUAUCUAAAAACAAUACCCGCCCCUCGGGCACAAUAUCUAUCGCUCAGAACAAUUUCAGCCCCUCGGGCUCAGUAUUAGUUAUUCAACAUAGCAUCAGCCCCUCGGGCUCACUCUCAGAUCAUAUGGGUGCCCACGCUCACUGGGGGUGUGUAGACUCUAGAGGGACCCCAUACGGCCCAAACGCAUCAACAUAAGGCCUAAAAACUUUAUCACAUCUCUCAUAAGGCCUGAAAUCCUCCUUACAUCACUCGCAGGGCUUGAAAGCCUCCUCAACGGAAUUUUACAAGUCCAAAAUGCAACACAACAAGGGGGUCGUUAGACCGUAGCUUGCGCGAAGGAAGAAGCUAAUCAAUCAGAAUUGAGACAGGGAGGAGAGGCGAAAGAGAGAUUUUCGAGCCUGCAAGCAGCAAGCAACAACGGCUUUUCAGCCGUUGCGCGCUAGCUUGUAGUUUAGGGGUAUAGUAGGGGUGCCCCUUUCUCAAACUUUUCUAUAAUAUAAGGUAAGCUUUUUGGAACCCUAGUUUUGGAGUUUUCCCCAACCAACCUAUACCUUACUAAUAAAAAGGGGCUUCCCUUUUUCAGCUGCAUUGCACUGCCGCAUAAACAAUGGAUCCGCUGGGCUGGAUGAGCAACCUUCUAUCUGGCCUCUGUACCAAUAGUAGAGUGGCUUGCUACUUUCAAUCAGAAAAGGAAGAUUGAGCAAGGCAAAGGAGAAAGAAGUUGUCCCCUCUUCUCUGCCGCCGCCGCAUAUGUAGAAAAAGAAGGAGCGGAGAAGGAAGAACAACCGUUUGACUUUGGCACAUAUUGGUCAGGUAAAGGCCCGGGUACAUAUUCACCGCGGCAUGCUGAUCCGCGAUUAUCUCAUAUGGCCAGAAAGCCUCCUCGCAUCUCUCACAAGGCCUCAAGCCUCCUCAUAUCUAUCACAAGGCCUGAAAGCCACCUCAUAUCUCUCACAAGGCCUGAAAGCCUCCUCACAUCUCUCACAAGGACGGAAAGCCUCCUCACAUCUCUCACAAGGCCUGAAAGCCACGUCACGUCUCUCACAAGGCCUACAAGCCUCCUCACAUCACUCAAGCCACCUCGUGGCAUAUAAAUGUAUCUCAGUCCCUCAGCCUCACUCAAUCCAGAAAACAUAAUAAGCCCCUCGGGCAUCAAUAAAAUAGUAGCGCUUAGCCCAAACAGCAGUGCAAAUAUCAUUUAAGUCUCAAAAUUCAAUUAAGCAGCUAAAUUUUUAAAACAGUAUAAUUAUUAGGACUAAGUUCAAGUAAUGUAUCAAAAUAGUGAGGAAACAGUGAUAAAAGUCCAUGAAUGAUUCAUGUAAAUAUUGCAAUAAGCCCAAAUUGUGAUGAUAAUAAACACAUCUUAGUCAAAUAUGCGGUAAAUUAUCGAACGGACGUACCAAGUCACAAUCCCCAGUAUUAAUAACCUCACGCUCGCUAUUAAGCGCGUGUUUCACCUCAAUAUAGCACUACGUUGUGCAAAUCCGAGGUUUCAAACCCUCAGGAUAUCAUUACACUCAUUACUCACCUCGAAUUGGUGAAACGUCUAGCUUGCGAUACCUUUUCCCCUCAAAUCGGCCUCAACGUGUGUCGAAUCUAUCCAAAAACAAAGCGAUUACAUCACAAUAUGCUAAGGGAACAAAGCCCAAACAAAAAUAGACCAUGAGGAGCACAAAUCCGGAAAUUAACAAAACCUAAUCCCCAGGCCCACUUCUCGAAAUCCAGAAAUUUUCAAAUCAACGGGUUCCUUAUCUCUCCACGAGUCUAUACAUAUAAAGAACACUAAAAUCGGAGUCCAAAUGACCCCUCAAAUCCCAAUUUGAAAUAUCAAAACUAAAGCCCUAGUUCUUCCUCUUUUUUUUAAGUAUUCAUAAAUUUUCAGGUUUAUCCCACAAUUAAAUCAUGCUUUUAGUUCAUAGAACUUACCUCCAAUCAAUCCUCUUCGAAACCCUCUUCAAUUCCCGUCAAAAAGCUCUCAAAGAUGCCCAACAAUGGGGAAAAAAAACUUAGACUCGCGGAGAAAAUGUUUUUAAAAACCAUUCUGCCCAGGUGACUUUUACUCUAUGCGAACACGAGGGUUUUCCAGCAUUCGCGAUGAACAAUACUUGCCUCUGACCAAAAUACCCUUCUCGAACGCUGUACCCCGAUUGCGAAUGCGAUGCUUUAACUGAUACCAUUAUGCGAAUGUGAACCUUAGGCCGUGAACGCAAAGAACAAUUCAUACGGAGCCUCAUCGUCCAAGAGCUCUCAAGAUGCUCAACAAUGGUGGAAAAUAACUUAGCCUCGCGGAACAAAAAUGUUUUAAAAACCCUCCCGCCCAGCUGACUAUUUCAUCUGUGCGAACACGAGGGCUUUCUCGCAUUCGCGAUGCACAAAAUUCCACUGACCAAUUUUACCCUUCGCGAAUGCAAUGCUUGCCCGCAAACGCGAUACUUUAACUGAUACAACUAUGUGAGUGUGAGCCUUAUGUCGCGAACGCGAAGAAAAAAUAAUAACGGGCCUCAAAUUCUUCUAUGCGAACGCAAAUAUCAUCACACGAACACGAUUCACGCUCUCAGGACCUUUCACGAACAAUGACCUUCCUUCACGAACGCGAAGGCCAAAUCUGGCAUGUACUUGCUGCUGCAUUUUCUGCAAUAUUUUCCAACUCUAUACUCCUCGUUAGCCAUUCAAAAUCACCAACACAUCCUAAAACAUCAUCCAAACUCGUUCCAAUCAUCAAAAGACCUCAAACAAUACUAAAACCAUCAACUCUCGUCGAAUUGAAGCCUAAGUUCUUCAAAAAAUUCCGAAAUACUCUUUCGAUCAAAAACUCAACCAAAUGACAUCCGAAUGAUCUGAAAUUAUUCACACACAUCCCAGAUCACAUAAUAAGCUACAACAACUCUCAGAAUUCCAUUCUGACCCUCGGAUCAAAAUCUCACCUAUCAACCAGAAUUCGCCAAAACACUAACUUUGCCAACUCACGCCAAAUCCUUCCACGAACUUCCAAAAUGCCUUCCGAUCAAGCUCCUAAGUCAUAAAUUACUUAACGGAGCUAGCCAAAUCAUCAAAUUUCCAAUCCGAGCUUAUAUAUAAAUAAGUCAACUCUCGCUCAAACCUUUCAAAUACAAAGCUUUUAACUGAAACUGUUCUUUCAAAUUCAUUCCAAAUUUCCCUAAAACCAAAACCAACAAUCUACAUUCGUCAUAAUACCUAACAUGCAGAAAGUCAUGCCUGAGAACUUGCGAUCAAAGUGAAAAGCUCAAAAUGACUGGUCGGGUCGUUACAUCCUCCCCCACUUAAACACGCGUUCGUCCUCGAACGUACGUGGAGCUAUUCUAAAAGCCAACCAAACGCUGAAUAACCUCACCAUGUAUAUACUCUGGGGUGAUCCCAUGUCACCCUAUCUCAUAUACGUUCGAUAACACAAUAUAACUGAAAUUUGACAAUACAUCCUAAUCCAUAAAUCACAUACCUACAUUUCCACCACCGAAAUCAUCCACAAGAAUAAAAAUCUUAUAUUCAUACUCUGAAUAAACCCAAAUGGCUGUAAUAACCCAUAUGUUUAACCUCGGAGCCAUUACAUGAUAAACCACAUAACUCUAACGGUCGUAGCAAUAACUUCUAUUCACCACAGCUGUUCACAACACCUAAAUACUGGUAGAAAAACUCUUGUCAGCAAAAGUCUCGUUCCAACACGGUCAUUAACAGCCAAUGAUAAAUGAAACACGCAAUAAAUCAUAACCAUUCUUGAAGCCACUUUUCCUAUGACAAAUACCAUAGCAAACUUCCGAGCCGAACCUCGAUAUUAACCUGCCAACAUGCUGAAAUCGAAUCUGUUCGUAUUCAUUAAUGAUCCUAACAAUAUCCUCUAAUCCAAUACACCACUCUGGCGGCAUAACACCUCAAUAGAGGCAUAAGCCAUAGUUAGCAUAAUACCCUACCAAUAAGCAACAGCCUGAACAUACUCAAAUCAUGGAAAUGACUCAAAUGAAAGAGUUGUACCUCACGCUCACAAGCACCACCACCACAACACAGGGCUGAGAACAAGUCUCACAUCAUAAAAUGGAAUACACAAAUUUAACUCGCAAGGUCAUAUCUCCACAUAACCUCGCUACAGUGCACGAUGCUAUCCAAACACCUCUCCAUAUGAGACACCUCGAGUCACUAUGCUCAAAAUUGGCAACCACAUACAAUUUGAUGUCUGAACCAAAGAAAAUCAUUCCACCCGUGGUGAAACAAGUAACAUAUACCACACAAACCAAAGGACAUAGCCGAUACGCCAUUCACCGAGCAAUACCCAAUUACUCUUCCGCUCGACUUCCACUAAGAACCCCAACAGAACCGCGCCGUAUGUGCCUAUAACCAACAAAUAAUAACAUCUCACAACAUGGAUAGGUAACUCAUAGAUAUCGCCAGAUCACUGAUAAGCUCAACAACGGUCGAAUCAAUAACUCCCACAACAAUGCCAUUCGGAGCCAGCCCAACCAACUCAAGAUAAAACACUCACCCACAUUGGCCUACCAACAAACUCCUUAUCGAGGAAGCCUGAAGAUGCUCCUUCUACCACUACAACUCUACCGAUGCUAUACGGUACGAUACAAGGCACCAAAUCCACACGAAAAUCCAUAACCUUGCCCAGCGACAUGCCCAGCCACAAGAAACAUCCAUGAGAAGUCACUCACCGCCGGAACGGAAUAAAUAUGAGGAGCCUCAGCAUUGACUCUCAUCACAAGAGUCCCAAUAAGAAGGCAAUCCUUCCCAUCCGAUCGUUGGUCCUUCAAAGCAUAACCCACUCUACUAGAACAUACUCUGACGCACUUCGCCAAUCAAUCUGUGGCAUUCCAUCAUAGCCCAUAAUGCAAUAGUCCAAGAUAUACUAACGCUGAGACGAUCCGUCUAAAUCUUCAACAUCACAUCCAAAAAUCUAACAUACCAAGCAAGGAAAGAUCCACGUAGGCCUCCAAAUCUCAGUAGUCAUUAAAAAGUGCUGAUACACGUGAUCCAUAACCAUAACAUAGCCUGAACAUGAGAACUCCCAAUCUCCAACUCCAUAUGGCACACGAAUAAUCGUGCCUAAUCCCAAUUUCUCCGUCCGAACAUAUACAACACCUUAAAUACUAUAUCACUCCACGAUAAAUACUCUAAAAAAAUUCAUGUGCCACCAAGCAAACCCGAAUAUCACCAGUUGAUCUAACAGGAAAAUGCCGCAAUAUUGCUAAAGUGCCACCAACUUAAUCACAUUACCCUUUUCUAAAUUGUAUACUCUCGUCAAAUCACCUUCGAAUGGCAGUACCAUUUUCCUUGAUUAUCUUAGGCUACCUGCUGGCUAAGUGUUUUAUGAACUUCCUUUCUGAAUUGAACUGUAACCUAACACAUGCAAGUCUCGGUCAUCUACAACAUGCCGCAUAUACCAUACCAUACGAGGAUAACAUGAAAACUUUAUCUCCCUUCCGAGCCACAGACAUCUACGCACUCAACUAGUCAAGAAUUUUCCAUUAGUCCUAUCUAGAACAAAAAUCACUAUACAUCCUAUGCUCCACAUGCCCAUAAAAUAUAUACAUCUCCAAACCACGGUAAAACCCAACAAGAACUCUCCCAAUUCCAUUUGCACAAACUAAACUGCCAGGAUUGAAUCCUUCUAACUAGACAAGCUAAGCAAGCCGUCAGAACCCAAGAGCAUUAUUGAAAAAAACUUGUACGGACUCAUUACCUCGAACACAUACAAGGAAUUAAUCAUAUCCUUACCAUACAGGUUCAGUCUACUAUCAAGAUACUCCAUCUAUCAAAAUUUCCUUCUGAUUCAUCUCAAACUUGAUAUUUCUCCUUGUUGUAGCACCACAAUUCCUCAACCCAGGCUUACCACACGAAACCUAAGCCGCUGAAUACUCUCUCAAAUACUCCCAGAAGCACCAUAUUCCAGAAUACUUUUCUCUGAAGAACUUCCCGUGAAUCAAAAUACGUUACCUUUACUUUCCUGACACUGAUAUAUAGAAUCCCGCAAUCAACAUAGAAGUACCAAAAAUCUAGACCUCUUCCAAUAAAAAUGCAGUUUCUAACCACACGUAUAAUUUUGAAAUACCCGAUUGUUCCCUGUAAAAUCUAUAACACAUUAGAGCCAUCCUCGCAAGUCAUUCACUCUUAUUCAACUACAACUUACCUGAACUAACGAACAGAACCACCCGCGCCUCGUUGGCACUCCGAUACUGCAAAAUCAAUUCCUCAUCCCAAUAUAACCAUGUAACUUCUGCUAUACGUAUCGAGCAUUCUUUACCAAUAGCAACUCUAGACAUUUUGUGAUUCUCAUACCCUAUGAAGCAUUAUAUAACCUUUGUCAAAAUUUUUCUUUACUCUAGCCACAACUAAUUCACUCGCAUGCCCCAAAUUAAAACCAACAUAGCACCUAACCAUGCAAUCACCUGAUCAUAGCAGACUCCCCCACUUGGCUUGAAGCCAUAGAUCAAGAUACACUCAAUAACACAUAACACUUUUGCUCUAUCAAUGUCACUAUACCAUAGUGAGAUUAAGCUCAAAUCAUUUAUAAGUUUGUGAAAACACAUAUCAUCUAGUACUGUAAAUCUUCUGCAAAUCUCGUAUUCAUCCCUGGAACCGUUAAGCUCACUCUCUUAAGGGACCUGAAAUUUAGAAUUUCAACACGUACUUUUUAAUUACACAUGAGGUCUUCUAACAUACACAUAGGGAUCGUACCACUUCAGAACCCUCCACAGGAGAUAACCCACCUGCUUCGUCUCAAUAUAAUAUUUUCACAAAGUUUAGCCCACUCUCUUCGGCGACCCGAAAUUCCAAAUUUUCAACACAUACUUUUCACUUACGUAUUAGAUCUUCCAACAUACACAUAAGAUCACACCACUUCAGAACACUCCGCAGGAGAUAAACCACCUGCUUCGCCUAUAUAUAAAAUUUCUAUAUAAUUUCCACUGUCAUACACAUUACAUAGUUGCUAAGUCUUCCUGAGUCUGAACUCAUACUGUAAAAUGCAAUUUACUUCACUCCCAACUAGGAGACUUGAAAAGAUUAUUCACGCGACCAUAACUCGGAGCUACACAUCCAAUCACAAUGGAAAUUAUACACUUAAUAGUUCACAUAUUAUCCAGCAGAUAUUCCUUGACACUUCCAAGUCAUGUAGAAACAUCUCGUGGUACUAACAUAUUCAUCAUAUAGCAAUCCAUCCUUCAUUCCCACAAAUAGGGACAAUACCGAACAUAUUAGUUUAAAACUUUCUCACAUAACCAGUACCUCGGUGCUCAAGCAAUAGGCAAAGAUCCGUCCUCAAGCCCAUCAAAAUGGCCCAACAUCAACUCACAGAUAUCACGUCUCGCCCCUAAUUUAGGGAAUCACAAGCCAUCAAGGCAUAUCUGAUACUAAGCGCUCAUGGACGCAUACGAAUGUAUGGAAGGAAUUUCAAAAGUUACCUUUCAAGCUGAAUCAAGGACGCAUGAUAAAAAUUCAAGAAUGUGAAGUUUUCCUAAAGGUUCUGCUGCCUCUCGAGGAUAAACAGAGACGUCUCCGUACCGAUCCGCGAGACUCUACUAAACCUGCUCAUGACUCGUGAGACCUAUUAACCUAGGCUCUAAUACCAACUGUCUCUGCAGCCUCUCGCGGAUAAAUACAGACGUCUCUGUACCGAUCCGUGACUCUACUAAACCUGCUCAUAACUCCUAAAACCUAGUAACCUAGGCUAUGAUACCAACUUGUUACGACCCAAACCCCACACUGGCCGUGCGGGCGCCUCUCAUAAAGACAAGGCCAGCCAAUUAACCCAACUCAUCUUUUCGAAAAUAGUUAAACACAAUUAAACAACUCAAAUAUGACUUAACAAUAAUAAUUAGCAGAAAUACAAUCCAACACAGCCGUAAUCGGGGUGUCACAAGUCACGAGCAUGUAUCAGGAUGUAAGUCCACUAAAAGGUAAAAAUAUGCAAAACCGGAAUAUUGAACAAAAGAGGGAAAUAUGAUGUUGCGAACGGUGACAGACACCUCCUUAACUCAUAUAACUCUGCCUCUGAUCGGCCAAAACCCGUUUCCGGGUGAAUAGAUACAUGCAUCUGCACACAAGGAGCAGGGAGUAAAGUGAAUACUCCAACUUAGUAAGUAAUCAAGGUAAAUAACAACUAAGAAGUAAGAAAUCGCGUAAAGCAAACAAUCAUGAUGUAUAGAAGCAGGGUACAAUCCUUUGAGAAAAUAGUGAAGCUGUGAAAUCAUUGGAAAGAUCUUGGCUCAGUUUAAAUCUCUUUUGAAAACGAUUCUUUCACCAUUUACGAAAUUACUUCAAAAUAGUUAGUGCCAAUAAGCACAGAAAAUUUGCUUCUCGGGCAUAAAUACCACAGUAUAACAGGUAAAAAGGCAAGUAAAUAUGCAAGAUAAGCACAUAAAAUUUCGCCCCUCGGGCAAUAUAUCAAAACAAUACCCAUCCCUCGGGCUCAAUAUCAAUCGCUCAGAAUAGUAUCAGCCCCUCGGGCUCAAUAUCAGUCACUCAGCAUAGAAUUAGCCCCUCGGGCUCACUCUUAGAUUAUAUGGCCGCGCUUAUGGGUGUGCAGACUUUGAAGGGGCCCCUUAUGGCCCAAGCCUAUAUCAAUAUAAGUCCUGAAAGCCUUCUCACAUCACUCAUAAAGCCUGAAAGCCUCUGCACAUCACUCGCAUGGCCUGAAAGCCUCCUCACGUCACUCGCAGGGCCUGAAAGCCUCCUCACUUCACUUACAAGGCCUGAAAGCCUCCUCACAACUCCCACAAGGCCUAAAAGCCUCCUCAUAUAUCUCACAAAGCCUGAAAGCCUUCUCAUGUCACUCAAGCCACCUCGUGGCAUAUAAAUAUACUCAGGCACUUGGCCUCACUCAGUCCAGAAAACAUCAUAAGCCCCUCGGGCAUCAAUAAAAUAGUAGUGCUCAGCCCAAACAGCAGUGGAAAUAUCAUUUAAGUCUCGAAAUUCAAUUAAAGCGGCUGAGUUUGUAAAACAGUAUAAUUAUUAGGACUGAGUUCAAGUAAAUGUAUCAAAAUAGUGAGGAAACAGUGAUAAAAGUCCACGAAGGAUUCAAGUAGUCGACAUUAAGCCCAAAAUAUGGCAAUAGGCUUAAAUCAUCGUGAUAAUAAACACAUCUCAGUCAAAUACGCGAUAUAAUAUCAAACGGGAAUUUAGAAAAAUCUGAACUCGGUAGUGGGUGUUGAUUGCUCAGUGGCGGAGUCAUUGGAGUUAGCAAGGUAGAUUCGACGUUAGAAGCACUGCUCUUCACCCUCUUGUCUUUCUUAGAUUUUAUUUAGUAUAUUUUUAGACUCUUCGUUGUACUCAGAACAUAGUACAUGCUCGUGACUUGUGUCUGGCUUGAGUAUUUAUUCAGCACUGUUCAUUUAGACUUACAUUAUGAGAUAUUUGAUUAAUUAAAAGCUUAAAAAAAUAUUUCUUAUUAAAUACUGGUUAAUUCGAGAAUUGUGUCGGCUAACUUAGUUUUAAGAUAAGCGCCAUCACGACCGGGUUGGUUUUUGGGUCGUGACAAGUUUCUAAUGAAUUAAUAUUGAAUUAGGAUUACAUUAUAGUGCUCUCUUUCGGUAGGAGAUUUAUAUAUAUAUCCCAUGCUCCACAUGCCCAUAAAAUAUAUACAUCUCCAAACCACGGUAAAACCCAACAAGAACUCUCCCAAUUCCAUUUGCACAAACUAAACUGCCAGGAUUGAAUCCUUCUAACUAGACCAAUCUAAGCAAGCCGUUGAAACCCAAGAGUAUUGCUGCAAAAUACUUGUACGAACUCAUUACCUCGAACACACACAAAGAAUUAAUCAUAUCCAGUNNNNNNAAAACCAAUUCCUAAAUUCUUCCCAUUUUGGACUAUAAAAUUCUAAAGAAAUCUUUUUUCGUGCCAGAGAACCUGGACUAAAAUCAAUUUUUUUACUAUCUAUGUAAACCAGUUGGAAAAUUCAUGUCAGAAUCUGUAGGAUCACUUAAACGAUCUUCACCUUUAGCAAUAUUAUUAUAUAUAUAUAUAUAUAUAUAUAUAUAUAUAUAUAUUAGAAGGAAAUGCAAAUAGUAUAAUGACUCUAAAGUAGGAUAUCUUUAAUUAGUUCGGGUGGGGGUUUUAUAGUAUUCAAAGUUUACAUUUCAUUAAAAUUGUUCAAAAAUUCUAUGCAAAUAAGACCUCUUUUUGGGUGUCAUUUGACAUUUGACAUCACAAAGGAAUACGUUCUAUUGUUCCUAAUCUUUAGCGGUUAAUUAUAUUAGGACUUUAACUUCUACCUAACUCAAAAUAAGAAAGAAUUUAAUAACAUUUCAAGGUUCUAAUUAAAUAUUUAGAAAAUUAAAAUAAAAAUAGUUAUAGUUAUGUAAUAUAAUCUUAAAAUAAAAUAUUUCGUAGAAGGUAAAAUAUUAAUGAUUUUAAGGUCUUAAAUAUUAUAACUUCAUGCAUAGUCCAAAUAAGGAAGCAUUAACAAGAAUAAUUUAUUUUAUUAUUAAGGAAGUAGUUAGAUGAUUAUUUUUUAGAUCAGUUCAUUGGAUCCAUCUCUUUCAUAUGGGAAAAUUUCAUAUACAUGUUACAACCACUGAUUAUCUACUUAUAAAAAAUUAUUUAAUAUAAUUCUAAAGAGUAAUAAUUGUUAAAGAAAUUUUAAACAAAGUAAAAAUAUUAAUAUGUGUUAACUCAUAUUUAUUUCUUCCUUCCUAAUUAAAAUUGCAUCAGCUUCUAAUUAUACUAUCCUGACUCACGAUUAUAAUUAAACACUUAUAGAGAGCUAUUCAAUAUAUUUUCAUACUGAAAUUUUUUUGUUUAUAUUUUACCAUCAUAAUUAUUUACAGAUAGAAAACUAAUCAAUAUAUUUCUAAAGAGUGUAACGAUUGUUAAAGAAAUUUUAAAUAAAGAAAAAAUUUAAUAUGCAUUAACUCAACUUGCUACAUAGCAAAAGUUUGACCAACUUCUGGUCAUACUAUUGGUCCACUAUGUUUAUAUAAAUAUCGAACUAAUUCCUCAUUCCGAGAGUACUAAAACUUUUCUCGUAGAAAUAUCUUGAUACAAAAAAAAGUCGAAAAAUGAAAAUAAAUAUAAGGGGAUUCGUUUCUUUCGUGUUAUUGAUUGUCUUGGCCGUUGGAGGAAAUUUUAUUGAAGGUACUCAGAUUAUAAUUACAUGUGAUCUAGCUGUAUGUGCAAAAACAUGCCAACAAGCUUAUGGUUCAAGGCUAAUUAAAUCAUAUUGUAUACCCAUACCAUUUGGAGAUGCAAAAGUUUGUGUUUGUGAACACAACCCGCCAUUCUCAAAGGAUCACGAAAGAGUUUAUUUUCAUAGUUCGUAUAAACUUAUCAAUUAAAAGAGAGUUAAUAUACAUAAUCACCUUAUUAUUUUCUCCGUGAUAACUAGAAAUUCUUUUAUGAAAUAAAGGUUAGAUACUUCCAUCAAUAUUUGAAUCGGUAGAUAGAUGUUUUCAUAGAUCUCCUCAUUAUUUAUUGUUCUUUAGAGUAGUUUUUUCAUGUUUACUUGAUUCAUAUGUGUAGAUGAAAAAACUAAGAUUAAGGAGCUAUUUUAGUCAAUUUUUAUCAUAUAAAAAGUGAACAAACCAGCGACAAACAAACACAACAACCAAAGGAACUAUUAAACUAAAGAGACUUAUAUAGCAGAUGAAUUCUCCUAAAAUUUAUAAGGAAAUACAUUAAUAGUUAAAAGAACAUGAUCACUUGAAGAUGAUACAGGUUUGAAAAAAAAAUUAAAAGAGUCGUAUAAAGUAUUCGAGAAUACAAAAGUUCAAUGCUUAUUUCUAGAUCGAAAUGCUAGAUAGAAAGACAACAAGAGUUUAAUUAAAAUCAUCCAAUAUAUUCGAUAAUGCAAGAGUUUAUCAAUUGAGAUUGUUAAGACUUUCAACUCUUAAUCGAAUAAAUAAAACCGAAAACAUUAAAAAUGAAGAAAAAAAUCUAUUAGACCGUAGCAUUCUAUAAUUAUCACAAUCAAAAUUCUUAAAGUAUUUGGAAAAGUUCCACAUAUCCUUGUACUAUUAUUUUUUGUCACAACCAAAUUUCUAAACUCCUCUUUUCUGGUUAAAAAUCCACUUUAUUAUCUGGUAGAAAGUGACUUGAACUUGAGUGUAACGAUAUGAUCACUCGUUUUGAGUUUUAGCAUGUUUUCCAGCGAUUUGAGAUCAUGAGCAGAUUCAUUUCAGGUAUUAUGACUUGUACGCAUGGCCGGAAUGGCAUUUCGGGAUGUUCGGAGUUGAAUUGGAAAUAAAAUUCUGAUUUCUAAAAGUUUUAAGUAGGAAGAAUUGACUAGAUUGGAUUUUAAAGUAAACAUCCUCGGAAUCGGGAUUUCAAGGUAUAGCAGAUUCGUAUGAUGAUUUUGGACUUGGGCGUACGUUCGGAGCGGAUUUUGGAUGACCUAGGAGCGUUUCAGUGCGUAUUGUGAAAGUUAGCAUUUUGGAAGAAUUUCAUGAAUUUGAGUUGAAGUGCAUUUCAAUGUUAUCGAUGUCCGUUUUGAGAUUUGAGUCUAUGAAUAGCUCUGUAUGAUGAUUCUGGUAUAGGGAGCACGUCAGGAAGUGAAUUUGGAGGUAUGUAGGUCAUUUUGGAGUGGUUUGCCGAAAGUUAGAGAAUUGAAGGUUUUUCAUAAUUUUGAUUGAAAGUGUACUUUUUGAUAACGAGGUCGGAUCUGAUUUCGGAAGUUGGAGUAGGUCCAUAAUGUCAAAUGUGACUUGUGUGCAAAAUUUGAGGUCAAUCGGGUGUGAUUCAAUAGGUUUCGGUAUCGAAUGAGGAAGUUUGAAGUUCUAAAGUUCAUAAAGCUUGAAUUGGAGUAUGAUUCAUAAUUUCAGCAUUGUUUGAGGUGAUUGGCGUCUCAAGAAGGUCCUCAUUAUGUUUUGAUAUCCUUUGGUAUAUUUGAAUGGGGUCCCGGGGUCCUCGGGUGGAUUCCGAAUGAUUAAGGGAUCAAAAAUAGAAUUUGAGGAAGGACCGAGGCAGCUGGGUAUCUAGUGUAAUUGCACCUGUGUGAAGAGGGUCGCAGGUGCGGGAAAGGACUCGUAGAAGCGGACUUUUUCUAGGGGGUCAUGGACCAUAGAUGUGAUUGGCUCUGUCUCAUUUCAUUUCGCCCAUGGGAGCUGAUUUUGGAGCACGUUAAAGUGCCAUCUUCAUCAAUCAUAAUGGGAUAAGUAUAUUCUUCACAAUUUUGAGUUAAAUACCUGAGUUUAUAUGGAUUUGAACAUGUAGUAGAAAUUGGGGUUUUGGUGGAAAAAUCUAGAAUCUUGUAUGUUUUGAUUUUGACCAUGAAUUUUUAAUAUGAAAUUGAGAAUAAAUUAUAUAUUUGAGUUCGUGAUGUCAUGGGAAAAUUACUAUUUUUUAUGACUCAAGGAAGAUGAUCCUCGAAGAAGUUUAAAGUUGGUAGCGGCCUACCGGUUCGAGGGCUACAGAGAUGGGUUUUGACUUAAGGCAACAACUGAGCAGUGAAGGAUAAGGAAGGACAUGUGGGAGGUUCCUCGCGGUGGAUAAACUUCUAGAAAUCCAAGUGUUAGAAAUAGGAGUCAAGUAGCUACUUAAAGGAAUGAGAGUGACCAAAGUGGGAGAGUGGCGGAGUAGCAUAUAGGUUCUACGAUAAGAUUGCUACACACCUUGAGAAAAGUUUUGAGCAACAUGGGAUUUAUGGUGGAUAGUUAUUGGGUCAACAAGUUUAAUUUGAAAUAUUGGCUAUUAUACGGUUGGAGAUUUGGAUGCGACAGAAAGGAGUUAAUUGACAUGAAGAAGGACAUAACAUAACUUUGGAUUGGAAGAGGUUGUCACAUCUUUAGUCGAUGUCCAUGAGAAGUGACUAGACUUGUAUAGUUGGUGAAUGAGUAUAGGCUUAGGAUGGGUUACUGAUUUUAUAGUAAUUGUACCAAGUACAGUGACAUUAGAAGAUAUCAGCAUGUAAUUUCCAAAGGUGGAUUAUCUCCUAUGAACAGGUCAGCAGUUGUGUGGUAUUGACAAAGCUUUUACAAAGGAUUCUACUGGCUAUCCUGUGAGAGGUUGAAUAUGUAAUUAUAGUUGGUGAUUCAGGGUAUUCAUAAAAUGGUUAACGGGAAGAUCUCGAGGAGUUUAGCGGGUUGAUUGUGCAAGAUCAUGUCAAUGAUGGAGGAAGAGCCUUGGUGGGUUACAGGAUAUGAAAGGGUAGCUUUAAGCUAAGUGGGAGAGUCUCACCACCUACGAUUGGAUUGUAUAGUUAUCUACUUAUAAGAUUUCUGGUUAUCAGCAUAUUGAUGAGUUAUUGUGACUAAGGAAAGAGAAUAUCAGUGGUAAUUUGAGCAAAGGAUUUGAGUAAUGUGUUCUAUAAUUUGGCAUUAUUGAUUCUUGGUCAGGCUUUAGGAAGACUCAAGAAUUAUGCUUCUUCUAGAAGUGAGUUAUAAGGAAGGUGAUUCGACCGGGUGAUUAUUUGAGAGAGUGGUCAUGUGCUAGCGGAGCCUUGCAAUUGAUUAUACUGGAGACCAAUUCAGAGUGGGUGAGUCUCAACAACGAUCCUAGUGGAUUCAAAAGUUAAAGUAUGGUGUCUAAGGAUUUCGAGUCCAUAGUAUAGUUCAGUAUCCAGCGUUUGAAGCUAAUUAUGAUAAAGGACUUUGAGUGUUUUGUGUUGUUUCCAGUCUGAAGUGUAGUAUAAGAAGCAUUGGAGGAAAUAACUUUGGAUUUAUAGAAGAAUUUUCAGAAGGGGUGUACUAGUUAAAGGCGUAAAUGUGCACACAGAGGGUAUGAAGUGGUUCGUGGGUUUUAAGAAAAUGUGGUCUUGUAGAAUAGGGUCACUCAGGACGAAUGCAGAAUGAGUUUGCUAAUAUUUUCAAUGGAGCUAUUAGUAUUCCUAAGGCAAGUCUAAGGGAAAUUAGAAGAAGUCAAACCGGUUAGCAAUGGUUGAACCAGCAUGAUGAUGGCAAUGAUUAGCUCCGUCAGCAUGUUAAACCAUGCAUGUAAUUUGUGGCAGGAUGUGCGAGGCUUGAUGGCCUCCAUAAUUGAUUUUAUUUGGAAGCAUUCGAAUAGUAUUGAUUGUUAUGUGUACAUGGACUCUAAGAGAGUUAUGGUGGCUUAGACCACUACUUGAGGUUGACAUUUUCUGCGGUUAUGAUAAUUUAGUCACGAGUUGCAAUGGUUCUCUUAAAAUGAGUUAAGUAAAAGGUUUUUAUAUAUGAUGAAGUAUCUACCCUAUUAUUGGUUCACGAAUUAUGAUGAAAUUCUUGUACUCUUGUGCAUUAUCAUGAUUAAGUGUCGUAAAUAGCAUGGGAAUUAGAAAUUGAUGAUCGAAGUUGCAGUUUGGUGUUUACAAGAAUGUCACGAGCUCGGAUGAGCGACAAAGGAAUCAGAUGGUUGGAGCCAACUGGUGUUGUCCUUAGCAUUACCUAAGAUUAGUGUAUUGUGUAAGUGGCUUUGAGAACUGAUUACAGAUUUUUUAUUUUCUUCACAGUGUUAGUGUGGCCGAUGGAACUUUGGAAGUUUGUUUCGAAUUUGACAGUUGUUGUGUGUUAUGGGAAAAAUAAGUUAUUAUGGACCCUUGAAAGGUUAUUAGCCUAGUGCGGUGUAAUAAGAAUCAGCAUGAUGUCUGUGGAUGGAUCUAAUUAUGAAUAUGGAAUCUAUAUCAAGUCGGAUGUGUUCAUUUCAGCAUGUCGCUCCUUAUGGAGGAGUAUUUGGAUGUUGGAUGAUAAUUUGUCGCCGGCUAUUCCAUGUAAUACAUAUGGUGUUGUGUGAGUUAUGAGAUGGCUUGAUAAAUUUCAUAUACCGCACCUUAGUCGUGCUUGAGUUUUGUAGCAUAUGUCGCUGUCGAUCUCCCCAGGAAUUUGCAUUAUGCACUUGUUGGACCAAACACACACGCAAGUAUACGUGGUCAUCAAGUAAUGAAGUAACUUGAAAGUCGGAUGUCGAACCCAUAGAGACUUAGACUAAUCGUUAACUAAGUAAACCAAAAUUAAUUAAUUAUCCAAGAUAUUUAAGAGUAAUGUUUUUCUAUUAAUCUACUAUUGCAGAAAUUAAACAAAUGACAACUAAAUUAUCAAGAAUGCAAUUUUUUCUAGCGAGAUUUUAUUUCAGAGGAGAUGGAAAUUUCAGGUCUGGUUGGUUUAUCAAUCCUAUCAAGUUCAAUAAUCACACUGGUUAAUCCAGAUUAUUUAUAGUUGCUAAUUAACCGAAUAUUUUAUAUGAAUAGCAAUUUCCCACAAUACUAUUUGCUUGCCCACAAUAUUUCAACCCUAUAUUCCUAUGGUAUUGAGUCUAUCAUGAAUAAAUAUGAUAUGGGAUUCAAUUAAGCAAUACUGUUAGGUAUAUUCCUGCCAUAACCACAAAAUCUUCCCCCGAGCAACAGGUUCAGAAACAAGCUCUCUCUAAUUCUCCUCUAAUCUAAAUACGGCUUUCCCAAGCAUAGCAUAGAUAGUAAAUAUAACUCAAUUAUUGGCCAGACAAUUAAGCAAUUAUGCACAGAAUUAGAGAAACAACCACAAGGUUAUAAUCCUAAUUAACGAAGAUGUAGUUAAUAAACAUUAAUAAUCAUGUUAACCACAACCCUAGAACUAGAAUUUUUUAUCCACUCAUGUUCAUAAUAACAAUCUUCAAACAAUUUUUCAUAAACAAAUUACAAAGGAAAGAAAAAGGGAUGGAGAACUCUAUGAUUUUCUCCUCCAAAAGUUUUCCACGUGAUGUCCUUGCCUCUGGUUGCAAAACUCCCUUCAAAGUGGCAUGUUUAGGUUUAUUUAUAUAUGUCGGAAAAUACCUAAAUGUGUAGGUCAAGUCAUAGUCAAACCAGGAGAUGAAAUAAAUCUUUAAAAUCGGAAUGGAUCUUGCCCCAGGCCUGGCGUCGCCAGGCAUAACGUCAAGUUAAGCUGGCCUUUGUCUAGCCUCGCCAGGUCUAAAGUCUAGUUAAGAUGACCUUUGCCUAGCCUCGCUAGGUCUAACGUCUACAUACAAGCUUGGCAUCGCAGGCCAACGCCAGCUUUAGGCCUGGCUUCUCCAGCUUUCUCCUUUUCAUUGUUCUCUAGCACAUUUUCAACAUUUAAGUAUCCCUUGUGCUCUACUUUCAUCUCCAAUUCACCUUUACAUAAAACAUAUUUCAUUACGCGUAAAUAAAGUGUAAUUUAUCAUUAAAACAUGUAAAAUGCAAGAUACAUAGUGUACAAAACUAUGGAGUUAUAGCCCCAAAUCAAUAUCACACACUUAAACAUUGCUCGUCCUCCAGCAAUCAAACUACACUUAUAGACACAACCUACUAAGCAAUUCCCUUAACUCAUUAUACCAAGAAUCUUUAAUAUAAACUAAGCAGAAGGGUGUAACAUCUUCACCUCAAUAUUUGACUCACAAGUGCCAUGUAUUAUUUCACAAUUCACUCACUUAGUCUAACACAGAGGUCAAUGACAUUACCUUUCCUUCAUGAAUCAUAUGCCCUCACACAACAAAAGAGAGUAUUCCACACACAAUAAAAUUUAAGAACAAUUAGGAACUUAAGAUAGAAAGAACUCACUCACUCUCAGAAAUAACAUUCAUAUGCUACAAAAGAUGCACCAUAGGCUUGCCCGUAGUGUAAUACUCGACUAAUCGAGCUCAUUCGGUCUAGGAUCAAAUAGGAUUUUCGUUUGUUGUAAUGUAGGUUGCGGCUCGGUAGGAUACAUUUGGAUAUGAGUGACUAUAACUCCCUAAGCACUUUCUUACAUAUACUUUAGCAUUCAAACCCCGUAAUUAUAUCAAACCAUAACUCUACAUUCAUAUCAAUGUAUAUUAACUCCAUAUUUCUUUAAGCACAAUUACAUCAAAGUCACCACUAUCACAGAAUACUUUUCACAGCAAUACAACUAUAUAUUAUUUUUGCUUUUCUUCUUUUUCAAUUCAAGUGGCUCUUACUUUUUCGAAACAGCACAUUCCUCUUAUUUCAUUAGUUCCACUCAAAAGUCAAACCAACCACCACACACUUUAACUGUGACAAAGGUCAUAACAACUCAAGUGCGCAUGAGAGGUGAUGUAAUGACUGACCAGUCACUUUAAACAUUUGCACUUUACUCGCCAGUUCUCGAGCAUAAUAGCCACGUAUGAUGUAUUAUGACUCGCAUAAAUCGUCGGUUUUGGUUUUUAGGUUAAUCGGAAUAGAUAUGAAAGAAGAUUCUCAGCUUAAAGCUUUAAUUUGAGACGUUUGACCAAGAUUCUGACUUUUAUUAAUCAAACUCGAAUUUGAAUUUUUAUGAUUGGAUUAGCUCCCUUAAGCAAUUUUAGACUUAGGAACGUGUUCGGAAUGUAUUUUGGAGGUAUAUGGUAAAUUUAGGCUUGAAAUGGCGGAAAUGAGAAGUUGAAGUUUAGAAGUUUGACUGAGGGGUUGACUUUUUGAUAUCCAGAUUGAAAUCUGAUUUUGGAAAUUGGAAUAGCUCCAUUAUGUCAUUUAUGACUUGUGUGCAAUGGGAUCAAUCGGACUUGAUUUGAUAGGUUUGCGCAUUGUUUAUGGAAUAUGAAGUUUCUAAGUGCUUAGGCUUGAACCCGAUAUGAAUUUAAUAUUUUGAUGUUGUUUUGAAUAUUCUAAGGCUCGACUAAAUUUAAAUAAUAUUAUGGAAUGUUGUACUAUAUUUGGUUGAGGUCCUGGGGGCCUCAGGUGAGUUUUGAGCGAGUCCGGGCAUUAUCGGAACUCAAGAUUGGUUCGGGUGCUUAAAUUUACAGUUGGGAUGGAAGUUUUACUGAUGGGGGCGGUGGUUUUACCGCUGAGGGCGGUGGUUUUACUGCAGCCGGGGAAAAUGGUCUCGCGGUCCGCAGUCAUCAAGAAUCUGCAGGUCGUUGGUCUAACUUCGGAAGCCUAUAUCUUUUGAUCUACAAGAAAUUUUGAGAUGAUUCAAAAAUAAAACAUGUAUCUCUUCGUGUUUAGUUCCCAUAACGGCAAAGAAAUCAUAAUUAGGACAUAUGUAGAGAAUGUUAUAGCCAAAAUACUAAGACAUGUCUAUGCAGCCACCAAAAGUGAGGUCAGAGGUGGUUUACCGUGAUCAACGGUGGUUUUUUCGCGGUUAGUGGUGGUUUACCGUGGUCAGAGGUGAUUUUUCUCAGUCACAGGUGACGGAAAUCCAAGAGGUGCACUAUAAAUACGAUAUUUGGGGUUUUAUUUCAUAUUUUAACCUAGAGAGAUCGGGUUUGGAUGAUGUUUUGAGGGAUUUUCAAGAAAACCAUCAGGGUAAGUGAUUCUAACUCAAUUUUGGCUAAAAUACAUUAUUAUAACGUUCAAUUCAUCAUUAAAGUAGAGAUUUGGAAUGAGAAUUUGGGAUAAAUUGUGGGAUUUCAUAAAAUAAAUAUUUGGGAUUUGAAAGCCGAUUCAGAGUCAGAAUGAGUGAAACUAGUAUGGAUAGUCUCAUAAUUGAAUGGGUUGUCGGAUUUUAGAUUUGGUCGAAUUUCGAGACGUGGGCUAUGGAGCCGAGGCCGAUUCAAGAGGCAAAGGCAUUGCAGGCUAGAGUUUGGACCGGAUAGAGGUAAGUGAUGAUUGUAAAUAUUGUCCUGAGGGCAUGAAACCCCGGAUUUCACAUCGUUGUUCUACUUUGAGGUGACGCACAUUCUAGAUGAUGAGCAUGUGUGACUUAGUCUGUCUUGUAUGACUGUUAUGUCGCGUAUUUAAUUGAAACUAUUUGAUAGCAUUGUGUUUUGGAAAGAAUUAUCAUGUUUUGGACUGAAUGCUAUAUUUGGUCCUCGUGCCAACUGUUUUGGACCCUUACGGGGAUUUUUAUUACUAUUCCUUACAGUUUUGAAAUAUUUGUAUUCAGUCAUGAUGUAUUCAACUGUUUUCAUAACUCAGCAUUUUUACUCUAUUUUGAUAUUUUAAUUGAUAUUUUCGACUGAGCAUCAUGUUUUACUCUCACCCGAAUGGCAUGAGAGAUUUCUAACUGAGUUAGGCCAACGGCCUAUUUUUGUUAGGAUAUUAUGGGAUCAAGUUGCACGUUGCAGCAGUGUGGUACAUAUUUAUGAUUAUGAAGUUGAGGGACGGGUUUGUUACGCCACAAGGUGGCUUGAUAUGAGGUCGAGAGCCAGUUUAAUUAUCUCACGAUAUGGCUUGUUAUUGCACUUGGGCCGUAAGGGGCUCCUCCCGGAGUCUGUACACCCCCAGUGAGUGCGGGUACCUUGAGUGAGUGAUAUAUUGAUUAUGCCACAAGAUGGCUUGAUAUUGCGCUUGGGUCGUAAGGGGCCGCUCUUGAAGUCUGUACACCCCAGUGA